UGAACGCUAGCGGCAGGCCUAACACAUGCAAGUCGAGGGGUAACAGGGAGUGCUUGCACUCCGCUGACGACCGGCGCACGGGUGCGCACCGCGUAUGGAACCUACCUUUUGCAGGGGAAUAGCCCAGGGAAACUUGGAUUAAUGCCCCGUAGUACCAUUUUGCAGCAUUGCAUUAUGGUUAAAGUCUUCGGGCGGCAAGAGAUGGCCAUGCGUCCCAUUAGUUUGAUGGUAAGGUAACGGCUUACCAUGACUACGAUGGGUAGGGGCCCUGAGAGGGGGAUCCCCCACACUGGUACUGAGACACGGACCAGACUCCUACGGGAGGCAGCAGUGAGGAAUAUUGGACAAUGGAGGAGACUCUGAUCCAGCCAUGCCGCGUGCAGGAAGACGGCCCUAUGGGUUGUAAACUGCUUUUAUACGGGAAGAAAAACAGCUACGUGUAGUUGACUGACGGUACCGUAAGAAUAAGGACCGGCUAACUCC
rnacentral:rRNA from 1 species